rnacentral:pre_miRNA from 1 species
ACCUCGUACCUGAACACCACGCUUGUUUGUUCACGGUCACGUGCUGCUCAGGGACGGGGCGA